UACGAAGGGGGCUAGCGUUGCUCGGAAUCACUGGGCGUAAAGGGUGCGUAGGCGGGUUUUUAAGUCAGGGGUGAAAUCCUGGAGCUCAACUCCAGAACUGCCUUUGAUACUGAAGAUCUUGAGUCCGGGAGAGGUGAGUGGAACUGCGAGUGUAGAGGUGAAAUUCGUAGAUAUUCGCAAGAACACCAGUGGCGAAGGCGGCUCACUGGCCCGGUACUGACGCUGAGGCACGAAAGCGUGGGGGAGCAAACAGG
rnacentral:rRNA from 1 species